rnacentral:misc_RNA from 1 species
AAAUUUCCAUAAUUCAGAUCAGAGGUGAGCAGCCAUGUCCUUAGCUCUAUUCCACCAUGUUACUUUGCUUAAUUCAUAUUGUUUCGACCAUUCUUCAUCUUCUCCUACUCUAUUCCAGAAUUGCUUAUGUUAUUUGGAAGUUUUGACUUGAAUUCAUGAGUAUUUUAUUUUAGCUCUCUCGUUGAUGAUAAUUGUCAUUUUUUACCCAUAAUUUUGUGGCAGAUUCGGUAUAUCUGAGAUUUGG